AGCGGGUCUCUUCGGAGGCCAGCGGCGGACGGGUGAGGAACACGUGGGUAAUCUGCCUUUCAGGCCGGAAUAACGCCCGGAAACGGGCGCUAAUGCCGGAUACGCCCGCGAGGAGGCAUCUUCUUGCGGGGGAAGGCCCAAUUGGGCCGCUGAGAGAGGAGCCCGCGGCGCAUUAGCUGGUUGGCGGGGUAACGGCCCACCAAGGCGACGAUGCGUAGCCGACCUGAGAGGGUGACCGGCCACACUGGGACUGAGACACGGCCCAGACUCCUACGGGAGGCAGCAGUAGGGAAUCUUCCGCAAUGGGCGCAAGCCUGACGGAGCAACGCCGCGUGAGCGAAGAAGGCCUUCGGGUUGUAAAGCUCUGUUGCUCGGGGAGAGCGGCAUGGGGGAUGGAAAGCCCCAUGCGAGACGGUACCGAGUGAGGAAGCCCCGGCUAACUACGUGCCAGCAGCCGCGGUAAAACGUAGGGGGCGAGCGUUGUCCGGAAUCACUGGGCGUAAAGGGUGCGUAGGCGGUCGAGCAAGUCUGGAGUGAAAGUCCAUGGCUCAACCAUGGGAUGGCUUUGGAAACUGCUUGACUUGAGUGCUGGAGAGGCAAGGGGAAUUCCACGUGUAGCGGUGAAAUGCGUAGAGAUGUGGAGGAAUACCAGUGGCGAAGGCGCCUUGCUGGACAGU
rnacentral:rRNA from 1 species